CCUACGGGUUGCACCAGUGGGGAAUAUUGGACAAUGGGCGAAAGCCUGAUCCAGCCAUGCCGCGUGUGUGAAGAAGGUCUUCGGAUUGUAAAGCACUUUAAGUUGGGAGGAAGGGCAUUAACCUAACACGUUAGUGUUUUGACGUUACCGACAGAAUAAGCACCGGCUAACUUCGUGCCAGCAGCCGCGGUAAUACGAAGGGUGCAAGCGUUAAUCGGAAUUACUGGGCGUAAAGCGCGCGUAGGUGGUUUGUUAAGUUGAAUGUGAAAGCCCCGGGCUCAACCUGGGAACUGCAUCCAAAACUGGCAAGCUAGAGUAUGGCAGAGGGUGGUGGAAUUUCCUGUGUAGCGGUGAAAUGCGUAGAUAUAGGAAGGAACACCAGUGGCGAAGGCGACCACCUGGGCUAAUACUGACACUGAGGUGCGAAAGCGUGGGGAGCAAACGGGAUUAGAUACCCCCGUAGUC
rnacentral:rRNA from 1 species